rnacentral:rRNA from 1 species
GUCUUUUUGAUAAUAAUUUAAAGUCUGGCCUGCCCAAUGAUAAUUUAAAUGGCCGCGGUAUUUUGACCGUGCAAAGGUAGCAUAAUCAUUAGUUUUUUAAUUGAAAGCUUGUAUGAAAGGUUGAACGAGAAAAUUACUGUCUCAAUUUUAUUUAAUAAGAAUUUUAUUUUUAAGUUAAAAAGCUUAAAUAUUUUUAAAAGACGAGAAGACCCUAUAGAGUUUUAUAUUUUUUAUAAUAUAUUUUUAAAUUAUUAAUAAAAUUAUUGAAAAUAUUUUAUUGGGGUGAUAAAUAAAUUUAAUAAACUUUAUUUAUUUUUAAACAUUUAUUUAUGUUAAUAAUGAUCCAAAUUUUUUGAUUAUAAGAUUAAAUUACCUUAGGGAUAACAGCGUAAUUUUUUUUGAGAGUUCAUAUCGAAAAAAAAGAUUGCGACCUCGAUGUUGGAUUAAAAUUUAUUUUUGGUGUAGAAGCUAAAAAAUUAAGUCUGUUCGACUUUUAAAAUUUUACAUGAUCUGAGUUUAAACCGGUGUGAGCCAGGUUGGUUUCUAUCUUUAAAUAAUGAGAAUAUUUUAGUACGAAAGGACCAAAUAUUUAUAAGAUUUAUUUAAUUAUUGAAUAUUAGUGUUAUUUUGGCAGAUUAGUGCAUUAAAUUUAGAAUUUAAUUAUGUAAUUUAUUACAAAUAAUACUUGUUUUAUAAAGAUUUAAUUUUAAUAUUCAUUAGAAGUUUAUUGUUAGUAAUCUGUAUUUUAAUU